UCGGGAAUUUUGGGCAAUGGGCGAAAGCCUGACCCAGCAACACCGCGUGAGGGAUGAAGUAUUUCGGUAUGUAAACCUCGAAAGAAUGGGAAGAAUAAAUGACGGUACCAUUUAUAAGCUCCGGCUAACUACGUGCCAGCAGCCGCGGUAAUACGUAGGGAGCAAGCGUUGUUCGGAUUUACUGGGCGUAAAGGGCGCGUAGGCGGCGCGGUAAGUCACUUGUGAAAUCUCUGAGCUUAACUCAGAACGGCCAAGUGAUACUGCUGAGCUCGAGUGCGGAAGAGGCAACCGGAAUUCUUGGUGUAGCGGUGAAAUGCGUAGAUAUCAAGAGGAACACCUGAGGCGAAGGCGGGUUGCUGGGCCGACACUGACGCUGAUGCGCGAAAGCCAGGGGAGCAAAC
rnacentral:rRNA from 1 species